GGCCUUAGGCCCAAACCGUUGGGACUCGAAGAGGCACAUGUCAAUCUCCACAACAACGUUCACGUGGGAUUCUGCACUGCGGCGGUACACUCUUCGAGCUUCACCUCUAUCAUUCCAUCAUCAACCGCGUCUAAUCACACUUUGUUCAGUCGUGGAUGAAUCACCGGAAUGUCUUCUCAAAGCGAAACCCACACGGCGGUGCAUUCUCUGUUUUUUCGGCUUCGCCUUCAUCGAUUUUGUUUCGUCACCCUGCAAUAACUCGUUGAUUUACGUCGCUCUUCACUCAGUCUGCGUUCGCCGAUGCUUAUCUCGGUUUGAUAAUUCGAGCUCUUCUCAACAACAACUGCUAGUGAUGACGCAACGACGUCGACGUAGAACCGAAACUAUAUUGCAAAUUGAAAUAGGCAAAAUGAAGACUUACCGGUUUCAACGCGGCAUUAACAACAAGUAUCGAUUGUGUUUUUCUCGCUUGUAUACUUGGUGCGUGUAUCCGCUUCGUGCUCUCCCUUCUUAUUUCCCUCUGCUUCAGUGAGUGAGGCGAGCUUCUUCUUCCUUCUUGUGAUUUGGUGAAGAGAGUAGUGGCGUGUGGAUUGAUGCUGAGUGGAGAUGAAGUGUGAGGAUAAUGAUCCGAGAGCAAGAUUGGGGAAUGAAUGGAGGAUUUUAUAGAGUGGUGGUUGCAACAGAAUUGGGCAGCUUAGGGCAAAGAGGGUCAUUGCUUGUAGUACCGAUGUAUUGAUGCAGCGACUUAUGGUGUUCAAUGCCCGUGUAGGCUGCUGCCAUGUUCAUCUGCUACAAUAGGACUUUCUUGCUCCACCAGGCUUUUGUUGUGGAGUUUUGCAGUGGAUGAUUAUCACAGAGCUGUUGCGAGAUCUGAAAUUUGGCCAAUGUUGAUUCUGUUAUGCACUUACACCAUGAGUCAUUUGGCCAGGUUAACAUAAGUUGUGGCAUGCGAAUCAUGUCGGACAAUGUAUUGUGUUAUGUGAUGGAUUUUGGCAUGAUGGUUGGUUUUUGAAUUGUCUUGACAUUGAUUUCAAUUUGUUAAUUGCUCAUGAUUUUGGUUUUGUUUGAAGGUUCGCGGUCGAAUGCUCCUGUGCGUGCAACUUGAAGAUGGAUUAGCUUUGGCUCAAGGAAUUCUGGAAUUAGGCUUGGUGAUUUGGGAGUGAAUUAAGCUUAGAAAUAUUGCAAUUGAACUAGCCAACAUAAUGUAAAUAUGUAUAGGCCAUGGUUUUGGAUAUAAUUUAGAAUUUGGUUGAAAAACCCAUGCUUAUCCUUGUAGUUUUCUUCUUUGUGCAAUGUUUGAAUCAAAUAAAAAACAUGUAAACCAUGAUUGGCAAUUUAUGGAAAUGUGAAUGGUUGGCUUAUGAAAUUUGUAAAGGUUGGAAAUUCUUGUCA